AACGAACGCUGGCGGCGUGGUUUAGGCAUGCAAGUCGAGCGAGAAAGUCCUUCGGGACGGAGUACAGCGGCGAAAGGGUAGAGUAAUAUAUAGGUAACCUACCUCUUGGACUCGGAUAAUUCCUGGAAACGGGUUGUAAUACGAGAUCGUCCUAUUGGGUCGCAUGGCCCGACUGGUAAAUGGUAGCUCUGCUUCUGCCGAGAGAGGGGCCUAUAUCCUAUUAGCUAGUUGGUGAGGUAAUGGCUCACCAAGGCUUUGAUGGGUAGCUGGUCUGAGAGGAUGAUCAGCCACACUGGAACUGAGACACGGUCCAGACUCCUACGGGAGGCAGCAGUGGGGAAUAUUGCGCAAUGGGCGAAAGCCUGACGCAGCCACGCCGCGUGAGCGAUGAAGGCC
rnacentral:rRNA from 1 species